rnacentral:rRNA from 1 species
GACGAACGCUGGCGGCGUGCUUAACACAUGCAAGUCGAACGGAAAGGCCCUGCUUUUGUGGGGUGCUCGAGUGGCGAACGGGUGAGUAACACGUGAGUAACCUGCCCUUGACUUUGGGAUAACUUCAGGAAACUGGGGCUAAUACCGGAUAGGAGCUCCUGCUGCGUGGUGGGCGUUGGAAAGUUUCGGCGUUUGGGGAUGGACUCGCGGCUUAUCAGCUUGUUGGUGGGGUAGUGGCUUACCAAGGCUUUGACGGGUAGCCGGCCUGAGAGGGUGGCCGGCGACAAUGGGACUGAGAGACGGACCAGACUCCUACGGGAGGCAGAAGUGGGGAACAUGGCACAAUGGGCGGGAGCCUGAUGCAGCAACGCCGCGUGCGGGAUGCCGGCCUUCGGGUGGUAAACCGCUUUCGCCUGUGACGAAGCGUGAGUGACGGUAAUGGGUAAAGAAGCACCGGCUAACUACGUG